AACGCGAAGAACCUUACCAUCCUUUGACAUGGCGUGCUACGUGGAGAGAUUCGCGGUUCCCUUCGGGGACGCGCACACAGGUGCUGCAUGGCUGUCGUCAGCUCGUGUCGUGAGAUGUUGGGUUAAGUCCCGCAACGAGCGCAACCCACGUCCUUAGUUGCCAUCAUUUGGUUGGGCACUCUAGGGAGACUGCCGGUGAUAAGCCGCGAGGAAGGUGUGGAUGACGUCAAGUCCUCAUGGCCCUUACGGGAUGGGCUACACACGUGCUACAAUGGCGGUGACAAUGGGAAGCGAAGGGGCGACCUGGAGCGAAUCCCCAAAAGCCGUCUCAGUUCAGAUUGCACUCUGCAACUCGAGUGCAUGAAGGCGGAAUCGCUAGUAAUCGUGGAUCAGCACGCCACGGUGAAUACGUUCCCGGGUCUUGUACACACGC
rnacentral:rRNA from 1 species